CAGUAGCCGCGGUAAAACGGAGGGGGCUAGCGUUGUUCGGAAUUACUGGGCGUAAAGCGCACGUAGGCGGCUUGGUAAGUUAGAGGUGAAAGCCCGGAGCUCAACUCCGGAAUUGCCUUUAAGACUGCCGAGCUAGCAGGUGAGAGAGGUAAGUGGAAUUCCGAGUGUAGAGGUGAAAUUCGUAGAUAUUCGGAAGAACACCAGUGGCGAAGGCGGCUUACUGGCUCAUACUGGACGCUGAGGUGCGAAAGCGUGGGGAGCAAACAGGAUUAGAUACCCGCGUAGUCCCUGUCUCUUAUAC
rnacentral:rRNA from 1 species